GGAGCCGUAGCGAAAGCGAGUUUUAACUGAGCGUUCAGUUACUUGACGUAGACCCGAAACCGGGCGACCUACCCAUGAGCAGGAUGAAGCGAAAGUAAAAUUUCGGGGAGGUCCGAACCCACGAGCGUUGAAAAGCUCGGGGAUGACUUGUGGGUAGCGGUGAAAUUCCAAUCGAGCCCGGAGAUAGCUGGUUCUCCCCGAAAUAGCUUUAGGGCUAGCCUCAAGGUGAGAGAUACGGAGGUAGAGCACUGAAUGUCCUAGGGGGUAUUGCACCUACCGAAGACUAUCAAACUCCGAAUGCCGUCAUCUUAUACUUGGGAGUCAGACUGUGGGUGAUAAGAUUCAUAGUCGAAAGGGCAACAGCCCAGAUCGUCAGCUAAGGUCCCUAAAUGUAAGUUAAGUGGUAAAGGAUGUGGGAUUGCACAGACAACCAGGAUGUUGGCUUAGAAGCAGCCACUCAUUCAAAGAGUGCGUAAUAGCUCACUGGUCGAGUGAUCCUGCGCCGAAGAUUUCCGGGGCUAAAACUUACUACCGAAGCUACGGCAUCAGUAAUGAUGGGUAGGGGAGCUUCCCAUACGGGUUGAAGCAUGACCGUAAGGACAUGUGGACAGUAUGGGAGUGAGAAUGUUGGCAUGAGUAGCGAGAUGUGGGUGAGAAUCCCACAGGCCGUAAACCCAAGG
rnacentral:rRNA from 1 species